CGGAAGCUUGCCGUCUUCGUGUGGAACAGGCGGAAGCUUUGCACUACAGGUGGAUUUCAUGAUGUAGCCCAGGCUGGCCUAGAACCUCCAGUCCUCCUAUCAGAACCACAGGAGUGCUGGGAUGACAGCCUAGAACGUUUUCCAGCUGAUAAGCAUGCAUUCAGUAAGAGAUGAAGAAUAGAGCACCAGGCCUGGAGCCUCAGACCUAGGGUACAGCAUUCCGGAAGUGAAGACAGAGAAAACUAGAGACCAAAGCCAACCUCAGCUACAUGGAACUAUUCUGGUGAUUUGGAAGAAAAAAAAAAAAGGAAGAGAAAGCAAACAGAAGUGUGGCAGCACCCCAGUAGCAAAGCAAUGGUGUGGGUGUUGUUUCUAUUACAUACAUACAU